CCGGACGCACGGGUGAGUAACACGUAUCCAACCUGCCGUCUACUCUUGGACAGCCUUCUGAAAGGAAGAUUAAUACAAGAUGGCAUCAUGAGUUCACAUGUUCACAUGAUUAAAGGUAUUCCGGUAGACGAUGGGGAUGCGUUCCAUUAGAUAGUAGGCGGGGUAACGGCCCACCUAGUCUUCGAUGGAUAGGGGUUCUGAGAGGAAGGUCCCCCACAUUGGAACUGAGACACGGUCCAA
rnacentral:rRNA from 1 species